GCCAUUUGAAGCUCACAUCUGUGUUAGCAGCGUAUCUCCACCCUCUUGGAGUAGAGGAUACAACAAUCAAACAAAACCAACACUGGCAAACUCGCAAUAACUUUAUUCAUAAACAAGAGGGAAAACUGCAGAUGCUGGAAAUCCAAAGCAACACACGCAAAAUAUGCUGGAGGAACUCAGCAGACCAGGCAGCAUCUAUGGGAAAAAAAAAAUUACAGUCGACGUUUCGGGCCGAGACUGGAGGAAAACAAGGGGACGAGUAGAUUUGAGAGGUGGGGAGAGAGAAACUGUAUUCCACGUUCACGAUAUCGUAGGAACCAGCAGAGGAGCGGCGAUCUUCACCGACCCCUUGGUCCAGAGCCACGCGUGUGCGCGGAUCUCCGCGCUCGGAUGCUGGGCGCGCGCACUGCGGCACGUCCGGCCAGGCAUGCGCACGAGCUGGUGUUGGAGGAAGCGGGGACGCGAAGCGAAGGGGAGCCGGCUGUGUCGGGAUCAAAACAAACUCGGUAUACUCUGACAGCAUUAAACCCCGCUGAGACCUGAUGCAGGAUAUGGUUUUCACUUCCAAAAGAAAUUUAUAAUCCACAAGAACUUGCCAGAUGUUGUAGCCUGAUGCUUGAACUUCUUUACAGAUUUGCAGGCUGAUUUAUGGUACUUGCUGACCACAACCUCAGUGAAUCGUGGUUGCUUCAGGAUUGGCAUGAUUUUUGUCUUGAUGUCAAUCAGAUGACAAAUACUUCCAUACAAAACGCAACACGUGGACACUAUGAAAAUAUUGCAGGACUCAUUUUGGAGAAAAACUUUCAGAACCACCACCUAUCAAGCACAAGUAUAAAAGGAAUUUUGUGUUCAACAGAUGAGCGAGAAGAAAGGGUGUCAUGCCCAAUCAAACAGCCGGCACAAUCCCCGACAGUAGUCGUAAUGUAUCAGUCCUUGGUUUUAUGCUGAUCCCUGUCACUCUUUUGGUUGCAAUUGGCAUUGCAAUUGUAGUGGUAAGGUAUAUUCGAAAGCGACACAGGUUAGAAAACCUACGCAACAAAUUGGUACCGAUUUAUUCAUACGACCCUAGUGAGGAUCAUAAUAAUGUGGAAGAAGAAGUAGAUACUAAUGGAGAAAUAAAAGAUAAUUGUGAACUUCCAGCUGAGAAGGCAACAGGACAGAAUGAGAACUGUGCCUCCAUUUCUGAUACGGGUAUUGGUGAGCAAGAAACAGGUGUACCAAAGGAGAAACAAGUUUUGCAGAUUGAAAGUGGACAGUGAUAGAGGCUCCCUCGUGGUAAAACUGAACAGCUGAACCAAUAUUUUUUACAAUUAUUUUUGAACUAAUUAUCUGAUUGUAGCAUUAUGUUUCUGUUGCAAAGCUGGAUCUUUCAACAUUCUGUUUGUGAACUGACUAGAAAUGAAAUGAAGGAAAUAAGAUAAAUUGUGUUAGUAUUUUUGUGUGAUUUAUCUUUAAAUAUGUGUGCAUUCUUGUUACUUUGGGAAGCAUUUUGGUAACUUGGUUGAAAACUCUUUAAGAUCAAGUGGAGCGUCUGUGAAUUUAUUAUGAAGCCUUUUGUGGACAGUUACCUUGAAUGAAUAUUCACAUAUCCGAAAAUGGUAAAUAAACCUUUGGUGUCCUGGUUAAGGACUGAUGCAUUACUACACAAACAAGAAGGCAUAUCAAAAUAUACAUAGCUUUAAAAUUGAAAAAUAGCAGUACAAACAGAAACUGAAUUGUUUUGAGGUCGGCCCACAAUGCAAAACCAUGCUUUGAAUAUUUGUUGAUUCUGUAUUCCUUUACUCCCUUGAUUGAGACACUCCACUGCAAAUGUUAAAAUAACUUGACUGAAAGUUGCAUUCUGUUAUCUCCCCGAUGUGAUCCAGAACAACAUUCAUGUCACUCCACUUACCAUCAGGAGGAUUUGACCAUGUAUUUGUAAUUUCACUAAAUGUGCCUUAAUGGAGAAAAGAGACUUUGUAUCUCACAAGGCCCUCUACAUCGUAUGGCAACAGAAAAUCUUCUGAAGGUCACAUAAGAAUUAUAAACAUAGAAAUGAUGCAUCUAAUUGGAUCAUAUUAAAGUGUUUCCAUGAGCAUUUAGGAAAUGCAUAAAAAGUGAGGUGGCAGUGUGAGUGGAUUCAGUCAUGGUUGGUAGCUACUAUUGCUUAACUCAGUAAUUGCUGAGCUAAUGGGUUGGAUUACUUAUUACUACAUUGAAUGUAAUUGAAUGCAAUAAAUGUAUUUCAUAUAAGUUGCUACUUGUGGUUUUAUGCUAAUAAUAGCAAUAACUGAAUGGAAAUGGUUAUUUUGCGGCCUUUGCUGUGUGAACUUCAGGAAGAAACCAUUAGUUCUAUGACCUACCCCUCUUACUGGUUAUAAACAUGAGAAGUUCUGCAGAUGCUGGAAAUCCAGAGCAACACACACAAAAUGCUGGAGAAACUCAGCAGGUCAGGCAGCAUCUACAGAAAUGAAUAAACAGGUGAUGUUUUGGACCGAGAUCCUUCUACAGGACUGAAAAGGAAAGGUUGUUUUGAUCAUAACUUAGGUUGGAGGCAGUGCAUUCCAGUUAGACUCCCUUAGACUCAAAGAAGAAUAAGUCGGCCAAAACUUCUCCAUUCAAAGCAGUGAUCCCUUCUGGGGAAAAAAAAACAUGUUUAUAGUUAUGCAGGAAAUAAGAUUUUUACAUGUACAUAACAUUUCAAUUGUAAAAUUCCAACAUUAGUUGUACAGCUCCUUUCAAGAGAUGAUGGAGAGGAUGUCAGAACAAUCCAUUAAAUUUUAUUUAUUUAUUGAGAUACAGCGUGGAAUUGGAAAUUCCAGCCCUUCGAGCUGUGCUGCCCAGCAAUCCCCCAAUUUAAUCCCAGCCUAAUCACGGAACAAUUUACAAUAACCAACUAACCUACAACUGGUCCAUCUUUGAACUGUGGGAGGAAACCGGAGCACCUGGGGGAAACCCAUGUGGUCACAGGGAGAACAUAUAAACUCCUUACAGGCGGUGGUAGGAAUUGAACCUGGGUUGCUUGUACUGUAAAGCAUUGUGCUAACCAUACUGUAAUUAAAGAAAUUCAGCUUGAUAUCUGUACACACAUGAUGUAUGGGACAAGAUAUGUAAUGUGAACUUUAAGGUUUUGAGGUUUAUCUGUUGUAGCAGAAAACAUGAGCACUCAAAUAUCUGACCCUGGAGGGAGAUAAUUUCCUUUAAAUAUGAAGAGCAGAAACUAAAGGGUUGUCGGGUGUGUGAUUAAGAAAGUGAUUGUUGUCAGGUUAUGCAAUUGAGAGCACAUUGUUUCAAAAAAUCUAUCUUUCUUAGCACUCCUAUUACCACUUGGCUGUUGCUAAGUUCCAUCGGAGUACUCAUAUCAAGGUAUGAAUGCUCAAUCUAAUAAUUUUGAAGGUAGGAGUAUGCACAAAGACCUUGUAGGAUAUGGCCAGGUCAUCAGCUCUGUAAUUUGCUUCUAUCAUCUUUGUGCCAAUGGGGUGGCAUAGUAGUGUAGGGUUAGCACAAUGCUUUACAGUAUUGGUGACCCGGGUUCGAUUCCUGCUGCUGCCCAUGAGGAAUUUGUAAGUUCUCCCCAUGUUCUGACCACAUGCGCUUUCUCCAGGUGCUACAGUUUCCUCCCAGAGUGCAAAGGCAUACUGACUGGUAGAUUAAUUGGUUAUUGUAAAUUGUUCUACAGUUAGGCUAGGGUUAAAUUGUAGGUUGCUUGACGGUGCAGCUCAAAGGACCUGAAGGGUCUAUUCCACGAUGUACCUCAAUAAAAUAGUGAACUAUGCAAGACUACGGUUUUUGCAGAAGAAAGGCACAAAAUUCAGGCCAACAGGGAGAAUUUCAGCCUUGCUUUAUUAUCUAGGUGAGUUUCUUUCAACAUUGCUUCAUGCAACACAAAAACAUAUUCUUAUAUUCGAUUUUCCUUCAGGCUAUCUCUUAGAUGCAUCUAUGUCAUUCAUUUAAAACAAUCCAGGUACUGUUCUGAGCUUCAUUUUUACCUUUCCCUCAACUUUUAAAGUGAUUUCUCCUGAAUUAUUUAUUCAUGUUUGCCUUUUAUUUACAAUCUACUGUUUGACCUAUUUCAUUAGUGGGAAUGUUACAAUGUCCUACCAAAAGCCCACAUAGUUUAAAGCAUCCCUGUCAGGUCAUCUCUCUGGUUGUUCUAGAGAAAUUAUGCCCAUAUUUUCAUCCAAAAAUUGUAGCCUCUUGGUUAGCGUGUAUUCAAAUAAAAUUCAUUGGUAUGUCAUGAAUAUUAGUUUUUUAAAAGAAAAUGUUUAUGGCAUUCUCCCUCUUUAAAAGCUGGAUUGCAAUUAACUACUGUCAAUACACGGCAUGAAGUGACUGCAGGCCAGUGUUAUCAGUGCACUGGUAAAAAGAGAGCAUUGUUCAAAAAGCAGAGCCUCAGAGUAAAACAGUUUAAAAACAAGUGUGAUUUUAAAGCGUGUGAUUAAAGUAAUGACCUUGCAAAACCCAGUCAAACAAAUAAUCCCCAAGUUACUCUUUCAUAUUGUUUAUACAGAAUUUAAUUUGUUAAUAUUUUAUUUGAAAUCAGUGCACAAUUCAGUUUUAAAGGGGUAUUACCAGAACUGUAUUGUAAUUUCUUUUCUUGCAUGACUUAUAAUGAGAUCAAGACCAAGGGAGCAAAAAUAAUUGAACCAGGUCAGAAUAAGAAUCAGCUUUAAUAUCACUGGCAUAUGUUGUGAAGCUUGUUAUAUUUGUAAGAGCAGUACAUUGAAAUACAUAAUAAAAUAAAUAUUUACAAUAAGAAAUGUAUUUAUAAAAUUAAUUUCAAAAAGUACUGCAAAAAGACGGCGGAAAAAAUAAUUGAGGUAGUGUUCAUGGGUUCAUUGUGCAUUCAGAAAUCUGAUGGCAGAGGGGAAUUUGCAGUCAAUUCGGAUUGGCAACAACAUUUCCUCCACAAUCUCCAUCAGCAAAGAUACACCACAAGGCUGUGUGCUUAGCCUCCCACUCUAGUCGUUUUACCCUUUACUAUCUGGCAUAGCCGCAUGGUGGUGUGCCGCAGGGCACAGUUCUGGGUCUAUUGUUGUUUGUCAUCAAUAUCAACGAUCAGGAUGAUACUGCAGUAAACUUGAUCAGCAAAUUUGCAAGUGACACCAAGACUGGAAGCGUUGCAGACGGUGAGGAAUGGUAUCAAAGCUUGCAGUGAGAUCUGGACCAGCUGCAAAAACAGGCUGAAAAAUGGCAGAUGGAUUUCAAAGUAGCUAAGUGUGAGACGUUAUACUGAGGGAAGACAAACCUAGCUACAACUUACACAGGGAAUCGUAGAACACUGAGGAGUGUGGUAGAACAGAAGGAUCCGGGAUUACAGAUCCAUACUUCCUUGAAAGUAGCAUCACAGGUAGAUAGAGUCAUUGAGAGGGCUUUUGGCAUGUUGGCCAUAAAUCAAAGUAUCGAGUGCAGGAUUUGGGAUGUUAUGUUAAAGUUGCAUAAGGUAUUGUUGAUGCCUAAUUUGGAGUAUUGAGUGCAGGUCACCUGCCUACUAGAAAGAUGUCAGUAAGUUUGAAAGAGUACAGAGAAGAUUUACGAGGAUGUUGCCAGGACUUGAGGACCUGAGUUAAAGGGAAAGGUUGAAUAGGUUUGGACCUUAUUCCCUAAAGUGUAGGAGAAUAAUGAGAAAUUUGACUGAGGUAUACAGAAUUAUGAGGGGUAUAGAUAGAGUAAAUGCAAGUAGGCUUUUUCCGUUGUGAUUUAGUGGACUAGAUCUAGAGGUCAUGGAUUAAGGGUGAAAGGUGAAAUGUUAAAUGUUUAAGGGGAAUAUGAGAGGGAACUUAUUCACACAGAGGGUGGUGAGUAAGUGGAAUGAGCUUCCAGCAGAAGGGAUAGACUCGGGUUUGAUAUCAACAUCUAAGAGAAGUUUGGAUAGGUACAUGGAUUGGAGCGUAAUGGCAGCUUCGGUGCAAGUUGACUGGACUAGGCAGAUUAUUGGUUUGGCAUAGAAUAGAUGGGAUGAGGGGCCUUUUACUGUAUUGUGGUGUUCUACGACUCUAUCACUUUAUCACUCCAUCAUGCCCUCAUUGGCAGCAGAACGCAAUUUGACUGUGACAAAUUAACAUGGUCAGUGUGGAGAAUGCAAUUUAUAACAGAAAUCUGGAAACAAAUGUUUGCCAAAAUAGAUCAUCAAGAAUUAGCAACCUGGAAAAAAAUGUAAGGUAAUUUUAUUAUUUUAUAAAUUCUGCAGAAUUGCACAGGUGUUCAUGCAAAAUUUCUUUAUAUCAUCAUUAUUAUAUAAUGAACCCAAGGCUUAGCAAGCAUUGAUUGUGUAAUUAUGUUAUGCUACUCUGAAAUUUCCAGUAAGAAGAUGUUGAUCUUCAAUACCAUUUUCAAGUCUGUGGAGAUAUUUGACAGUUUUUCCAUCGGUUAGAAGAAAGCCUUUAAAUGUUACUUUUAAAGCAAUACAUUACAGGAAAAGGGUUAUGAUAAAGUCAUACAGAUGUGUAUUAGUUUAUUAGUGCUUGUUCAUAAUUGGUGCAUCCCCAGAGACACUCGCAGAUUUCUGCAGAUGUACCCUAAAGAGCAUUCUAAUUGUUUGCAUCUCCAUCCUGUAAGGAGGAGCCACUGCACAGGAUCAGAUAAAGCCGCUGAACAUUGUAAACUCAGCCAGCUCCAUCAUGGGCACUAGCCUCUCCAGGAUUGAGGGCACCUUCAAAAGGCGAUACCUCAGAAAGGCAGCAUGGACAUGCCCUCUUCUCAUUGCUACAAUCAAAGAGGAGGUGCAGGAACGUGAAGGCACACACUUGACGAUUCAGGAACAGCUUCUUCCCCUCUGUCAUCAGAUAUAUGAAAGGACAAUGAACCAAAAAUCACUACCUCACACUUCUUCCCACUCUUUUUGCAUUACUUUUUAAGAUUCAUUUGAAAAAUAUAAUUCUUAUUUUAAUUUACAGUAUUUUUCGUUGUUAUCAGAAUCAUGGCAUAUAUCAUGAAAUUAAUUGUCUUUGUGGCAGCAGUCCAAUGCAAUACAUAAUAAAAUUGUGAAUUACAGUAAAUAUAUAUAUUAAUUAAUUAGAUUAAAUAAAUACUGGAACAUAGAACGUAAUAAGUAGUGAGGUAGCGUACAUAGGAACUUGAAAUUGCUCAGUCUUUCUACUUUUGAUCCCUUCAUGAGGACUGGUGUGUAUUCCCUCAUCCCACCCUUCCUGACGUCCACAAUCAUUUCUUUGGUAUUACUGUCAAGGUUGUUGCUGUGACCCCAAUCAACUAGCUGAUUUAUUUUGCUCCCAUAUGCUUUCUCAUCACGGCCUGAAAUAUGUUAUAAAACAACAAAUUUCACCGUAUAUGCCAAUGAUAUUAAACGUAAACACGAGGAAAUCUGCAGAUGCUGGAAAUUCAAGCAACACACUCACAAUGCUGGUGGAA